rnacentral:rRNA from 1 species
UACGUAGGUGGCGAGCGUUGUCCGGAUUUACUGGGCGUAAAGAGCGCGCAGGCGGUCGGCCAAGUCGAGUGUGAAAGCCCCCGGCUCAACUGGGGAGGGUCACUUGAUACUGGUCGACUCGAAGGCGGGAGAGGGAAGUGGAAUUCCCGGUGUAGUGGUGAAAUGCGUAGAUAUCGGGAGGAACACCAGUGGCGAAGGCGACUUCCUGGCCCAUUCUUGACGCUGAGGCGCGAAAGCUAGGGGAGCAAACGGG